rnacentral:rRNA from 1 species
UACGUAGGGUGCAAGCGUUAAUCGGAAUUACUGGGCGUAAAGCGUGCGCAGGCGGCGCGUUAAGACAGGUGUGAAAGCCCCGAGCUUAACUUGGGAAUUGCGCUUGUGACUGGCGUGCUGGAGUGUGGCAGAGGGAGGGGGAAUUCCACGUGUAGCAGUGAAAUGCGUAGAGAUGUGGAGGAACACCGAUGGCGAAGGCAGCCUCCUGGGCCAGCACUGACGCUCAUGCACGAAAGCGUGGGGAGCAAACAGG